UACUCCUACGGGAGGCAGCAGUAGGGAAUCUUCGGCAAUGGACGGAAGUCUGACCGAGCAACACCGCGUGAGUGAAGAAGGUUUUCGGAUCGUAAAGCUCUGUUGUAAGAGAAGAACGAGUGUGAGAGUGGAAAGUUCACACUGUGACGGUAUCUUACCAGAAAGGGACGGCUAACUACGUGCCAGCAGCCGCGGUAAUACGUAGGUCCCGAGCGUUGUCCGGAUUUAUUGGGCGUAAAGCGAGCGCAGGCGGUUAGAUAAGUCUGAAGUUAAAGGCUGUGGCUUAACCAUAGUACGCUUUGGAAACUGUUUAACUUGAGUGCAAGAGGGGAGAGUGGAAUUCCAUGUGUAGCGGUGAAAUGCGUAGAUAUAUGGAGGAACACCGGUGGCGAAAGCGGCUCUCUGGCUUGUAACUGACGCUGAGGCUCGAAAGCGUGGGGAGCAAACAGGAUUAGAUACCCUGGUAGUCCACGCCGUAAACGAUGAGUGCUAGGUGUUAGACCCUUUCCGGGGUUUAGUGCCGUAGCUAACGCAUUAAGCACUCCGCCUGGGGAGUACGACCGCAAGGUUGAAACUCAAAGGAAUUGACGGA
rnacentral:rRNA from 1 species